GUCUGUGGCCACGCCAACCUGAACGAGCCCGAUCCCGUCUGAUCUCGGAAGCUAAGCAGGGUCGGGCCUGGUUGGUCCUUGGAUGGGAGACCACCUAGGAAGACCAGGUCCUGUAGACG
rnacentral:rRNA from 1 species